rnacentral:tRNA from 3 species
GCAGUCGUGGCCGAGUGUUUAAGGCGAUGGACUAGAAAUCCAUUGGGGUCUCCCCGCACAGGUUCGAAUCCUGUCGACUGCG